rnacentral:rRNA from 1 species
AACGUACGCUGGCGGCACGCUUAACACAUGCAAGUCGAACGAAGUAGCAAUACUUAGUGGCAGACGGGUGAGUAACAUGUGGGUAUCUGCCCUUUGGCCUGGAAUAACACGAGGAAACUUGUGCUAAUACCGGAUAAGUCUUUACGGAGAAAGCUUUAUGCACCAUUGGAUGAGCCCGCACUUGAUUAGUUUGUUGGUGGGGUAAUGGCCUACCAAGACUGUGAUCAAUAGCUGAUUUGAGAGGAUGAUCAGCCACAUUGGGACUGAGACACGGCCCAAACUCCUACGGGAGGCAGCAGUGGGGAAUCUUGCACAAUGGAGGAAACUCUGAUGCAGCGAUGCCGCGUGAGUGAAGAAGGCCCUUGGGUUGUAAAGCUCUUUCGUCGGGGAAGAAAAUGACUGUACCCGAAUAAGAAGGUCCGGCUAACUUCGUGCCAGCAGCCGCGGUAAUACGAAGGGACCUAGCGUAGUUCGGAAUUACUGGGCUUAAAGAGUUCGUAGGUGGUUGAAAAAGUUAGUGGUGAAAUCCCAGAGCUUAACUCUGGAACUGCCAUUAAAACUUUUCAGCUAGAGUAUGAUAGAGGAAAGCAGAAUUUCUAGUGUAGAGGUGAAAUUCGUAGAUAUUAGAAAGAAUACCAAUUGCGAAGGCAGCUUUCUGGAUCAUUACUGACACUGAGGAACGAAAGCAUGGGUAGCGAAGAGGAUUAGAUACCCUCGUAGUCCAUGCCGUAAACGAUGUGUGUUAGACGUUGGAAAUUUAUUUUCAGUGUCGCAGCGAAAGCGAUAAACACACCGCCUGGGGAGUACGACCGCAAGGUUAAAACUCAAAUGAAUUGACGGGGACCCGCACAAGUAGUGGAGCAUGUGGUUUAAUUCGAAGAUACGCGCAGAACCUUACCAACACUUGACAUGUUCGUCGCGACUCUAAGAGAUUAGAGUUUUCGGUUCGGCCGGACGAAACACAGGUGCUGCAUGGCUGUCGUCAGCUCGUGUCGUGAGAUGUUGAGUUAAGUCCCGCAACGAGCGCAACCCUCACUUUUAGUUGCCAUCAUUAAGUUGGGCACUCUGAAAGAACUGCCAGUGAUAAGCUGGAGGAAGGUGGGGAUGACGUCAAGUCCUCAUGGCCCUUACGUGUUGGGCUACACACGUGCUACAAUGGUAUCUACAACAGGAAGCAAGACUGCGAAGUCAAGCAAAUCCUUAAAAGAUACCUCAGUUCGGAUUGCACUCUGCAACUCGAGUGCAUGAAGCUGGAAUUACUAGUAAUCGUGGAUCAGCGUGCCACGGUGAAUGCGUUCCCGGGUCU